UUUGACACUUAAGAUAGAGUUAAUAGAUUAGUGACCUUGUCGGUCGCGGCAACAGGCGUUAUACUUUAAAAGAGUUUUUAUGUAUACAGAAAUUUGGAUUUCGCCUUGGUCUCGUAAUUGGAAGUAAAAUUUGUAUAUAUACACAGUCGCCACAAGAACUUCGUUUGGUUGAGGCUUAGCAAAAUUGUGGGGCGUAAUUCCCAGCGCGGGUAAUAAAUCUGGAGCAAAUAUAAGCGUAAUGAAACUCCAAAAGGAAUUCGAAGCUCGAAAAGGUGCCCAUAGAAUGUGUGCUAAAUGUGGAUAAACUAUUUUUCGAGAUGGAGUCGUAAUAUUCCUUCAAUUUCCUAAACCUGGUAAAACAAAUAUUAAACGGUAUUGCAUGAAAGUUAGAAGACAGAGCUGAUUGUGACAGCAACAGUAUGUGACUUAUCAAGAGUCAGCAUAAAGGCUCUAGAUAUCCUCGGUGUCAUGAAGAAGACAAAUCUCAACUCAAUGAUAAUAAUUUCAAAAAGUUUUUAUUGU